GGAUGUGAGGGCGAUCUGGCUGCAACAUCUGUCACCCCAUUGAUCACCAGGGUUGAUUUGGCUGAUCUGGCUGACUAGGAGGGUGUCCCCUUCCUCCCUCACUGCUCCAUGUGUGUCCCUCCUGAAGCUGCACGCGUGGUCGAAGAGGACUGCCUUCCCUGAAUCAGAGACUGACUGGUCUUCGGUCGAGGGUAUAUGAGUAGCUGCACUCCCCUGCUAGAACCUCCAAACAAGCUCUCAAGAAAGAAGCUGAGGGAAGAGAAAGCAGACCAGCAGAAGCAGAAAACAGAAUU
rnacentral:snRNA from 1 species